rnacentral:rRNA from 1 species
UACGAAGGGGGCUAGCGUUGCUCGGAAUCACUGGGCGUAAAGGGUGCGUAGGCGGGCCUUUAAGUCAGGGGUGAAAUCCUGGAGCUCAACUCCAGAACUGCCUUUGAUACUGAAGAUCUUGAGUUCGGGAGAGGUGAGUGGAACUGCGAGUGUAGAGGUGAAAUUCGUAGAUAUUCGCAAGAACACCAGUGGCGAAGGCGGCUCACUGGCCCGAUACUGACGCUGAGGCACGAAAGCGUGGGGAGCAAACGGG